CAGUAACGGCGAGUGAAGCGGGAAACGCUCAAAUUUGAAAUCUCCGGCGCCUGCGCCGGCGACUUGUAGUUGCGAGAAGCGCCUUCUAGACGGACCGGCCGCGCCUAAGUUGCUUGGAACGGCACGUCGCAGAGGGUGACAACCCCGUCUGUGGCGCCGCCGGCCGGCCACGAUGCGCUUUCCAAGAGUCGGGUUGUUUGGGAUUGCAGCCCAAAACGGGUGGUAAACUCCAUCUAAAGCUAAAUACCGGCGCGAGACCGAUAGCGAACAAGUACCGUGAGGGAAAGAUGAAAAGAACUUUGAAAAGAGAGUUAAAGAGUACCUGAAACCGGCCCAAAGGAAACCAAUGGACUUAACAAUGCGCCCUCGAGAUUCAGCCGGCCGGCCGGGCCCACCCGAGACGCGCGGAUCCGAACGGACCGGCGGCCCGGGCCCGUCCCUCCCGGCCGUCGCACUUCUCUCGGGCGCGCGUCAACGUCGGUCGGCGACUGGGUCUGAAAGGUUCCGGGAAGGUGGGUCGGAGCUUCCCCCUCGGGGGCGGCUCCGGCCGUUAUAGCCCGGUUCCCCUCUCGGCCCGGGCCCGACCGAGGCCCUCUUUGCAGGGCGCGCCUCUCCUGGCUGGGGUCCCGUCCCUCCGGCCGGCCGUCCACCGCGGCGGACUGCUCGCAGUGCUUCGCAACCGCGGCCGGUCGUUGGGCUGGUGAUCUCCCACCGCGCCCUUAGGACGUUGGCGGACAUAUGGGUCCAUCCGACCCGUCUUGAAACACGGACC
rnacentral:rRNA from 1 species